rnacentral:rRNA from 1 species
GAUGAACGCUGGCGGCGUGCCUAAUACAUGCAAGUCGAGCGAACAGACGAGGAGCUUGCUCCUCUGACGUUAGCGGCGGACGGGUGAGUAACACGUGGAUAACCUACCUAUAAGACUGGGAUAACUUCGGGAAACCGGAGCUAAUACCGGAUAAUAUAUUGAACCGCAUGGUUCAAUAGUGAAAUACGGUUUUUCUGUCACUUAUAGAUGGUCCCGCGCCGCAUUAGCUAGUUGGUAAGGUAACGGCUUACCAAGGCAACGAUGCGUAGCCGACCUGAGAGGGUGAUCGGCCAAACUGGAACUGAGACACGGUCCAGACUCCUACGGGAGGCAGCAGUAGGGAAUCUUCCGCAAUGGGCGAAAGCUUGACGGAGCAACGCCGCGUGGGUGAUGAAGGUCUUCGGAUCGUAAAACUCUGUUAUUAGGGAAGAACAAAUGUGUAAGUAACUAUGCACGUCUUGACGGUACCUAAUCAGAAAGCCACGGCUAACUACGUG